rnacentral:rRNA from 1 species
AUUGAACGCUGGCGGCAGGCCUAACACAUGUAAGUCGAGCGAGCGGCGGACGGGUGAGUAAUGUAUGGGGACUGCCCGAUAGAGGGGGAUAACAACUGGAAACGGUAGCUAAUCCCGCAUAAGAUCGGAUAACCCAUAUGGGAUUAGCUAGUAGGUGAGGUAAUGGCUCACCUAGGCGACGAUCCCGAGCUGGUCUGAGAGGAUGAUCAGCCACACUGGGACUGAGACACGGCCCAGACUCCUACGGAGGAAGCGGUGGGGAAUAUUGCCCAAUGGGCGCAAGCCUGAUGCAGCCAUGCCGCGUGUAUGAAGAAGGCCCUAGGGUUGUAAAGUACUUUCAGUCGGGAGGCGUUACCGACAGAGGAAGCACCGGCUAACUCCGUGCCAGCAGCCGCGGUAAUUC